UACGGGGGGGGCAAGCGUUGUUCGGAAUUACUGGGCGUAAAGGGCUCGUAGGCGGCCAACUAAGUCCGACGUGAAAUCCCCAGGCUUAACCUGGGAACUGCGUCGGAUACUGGAUGGCUUGAAUUCGGGAGAGGGAUGCAGAAUUCCAGGUGUAGCGGUGAAAUGCGUAGACAUCUGGAGGAAUACCGGUGGCGAAGGCGGCAUCCUGGACCGACAUUGACGCUGAUGAGCGAAAGCUAGGGGAGCAAACGGG
rnacentral:rRNA from 1 species